rnacentral:misc_RNA from 1 species
CCAGUAGGAUUGCGAGACGCGCGAGGGGGGUAGGGCAGCCUAACCCACCCGACCGGUCGGACCCGUGCCCACAUACUGCGGGGAGCCUUGCGGCUCUCUCGAGGGGGGCGUGGCGGCUCGUCCGCCCGCCUGUAGACGGGGGCCUUCCCUUUAGGUGGGGCUUCUCUCCGCCGUUCUUGCCUUCCACAACCUUCACCCUUGAUUACCCUAGCCUUUGUUGCCUCGGCAGGUCAGCCUGCCAGAGGACACAACCUAAACUACUGUUGUUAACAGCGAAGUCUGAGCUACAAAGCAAUUGUUUA